AUGGUGCAUGAUGAUGGAAGCCGUGUCU
rnacentral:piRNA from 1 species